GUUAUGUCAAUGAUGAUGGCUGAAUCUUCUGCAGGGCUGGAAUGCAGUAUUUCACGACGUGGUUUUAAAAGCCAGACCAAUAUAUACACAGUGAAUAGACAUAAUGAGUGA
rnacentral:lncRNA from 1 species